ensembl:lncRNA
AUGUCCUCAACAAAUUGUGCAAGCUCAUUAGGGGAUCUUUUACUUUUUAUACCUGGAGACAUAUCACACAACCUGAGAACAUGUGCUCCAGUUCACCGACAGAUUUCCCUUGCACGGUCCCGCUGGAACAUUGGCACUCAUGCCGUCUAUAAACAGACAGUCCAGGUUUGUGUCUGUCAGAGCUGUACUCCAUUUUAUUUACCGCACAGUCUUUGGGGGUGGGAAGAAGGGGAAUUAAUCAGAAGAAGCAUGCAGUUCUCCCUCCCUCCUGCUCUUUAUUUAUUUAUUUUUGUACUUGAAAGCUUUCCGAGCUCUUUAUUAUUCCCAGAGUUCAUUUUUCUUCUUCUUUUUUGCUUUUUUUUUUUUUUUUUUUUUUUCUGAAAGCAGCUGAUCUCAGCAGGUGAGGGACAGGACAUGAGGCAGUUCAGAAGGCCAGGAGGAUGAGGAGCCCUUGGGAUUCCCCUGACUGCUGGGCUGGAGCGAGCAGGGUGUGGGGGAUCCCAGGGUGUGGGGCACUGAGCCAUCUUCUCACCCAGCCAUCUGCUAACUGUGCUGGCACUCUGGUGGGCUGGUUGCUGAUGGGAAAAGGCAUAAGACAUGGACUUGUAGGGUGGUGGGGGGAAACCUGCCCUCGUAUGUAUCCACAUGAGGUGUGUGUAUUUGUAAUUGGCUGCCUUCUGUUUGGCAGAUAUUGUGAGGACAGAAAUCACAGUGUAUGUGAUAUGCCAUAUCUCUAUGGGAUCCUUCAUCUGCACUAGUUCGUAGGUAAGAAAAAGCCCUACCUGCAGGAAUCCCUUAGCAAGAAAGUAUUGAUCGUACUUGUUAAAUGUAGAAUCAUGGAAUGGUUUUGGCUUGGAAGGGACCUUAAAGCCCAUCCAGCCCCAACCCCACUGCUGUGGGCGGGGCUGCCCCCCACCAGCUCAGGCUACCCAGGGCCCCAUCCAACCUGGCCUUGAAUGCCUUCAGGGAUGGGGCACCCACAUCUUCUCUGGAAAGCCUGUGCCAGGGCCUCACCGCCCUCUGAGUAAGGAAUGUCCUCCUAACAUCUAACCUCGUCUCUUUACCAUCUCCCCUCUUUUAGUUUAAAACCAUUUAGGCAGAAGUCUGGUCCUUCAGUCCACGUGAGACCAGUUGCUGGCUGAGCAAUGUAACUACUAGGCCAAACCAGCUCCUAAAAAAGUGCACCCCACAACCUCUCCCGGGGUGAGUGAGCUAUCAUGCGCAGCUUGUUGCAACCAGCACAGAAUAACGUGCUGCACGGCAGAAGAUCGCUCCCAGAAUGGGCACGGAGCUACCUGCAGAAAGCCUUCAAUAACCCCUUGCACAAAGGGCAGCUCAGAGCCCGUCAGGUGCAGACGCUGAGCUGGGGAAGCGAACCCCC